rnacentral:rRNA from 1 species
GACGAACCGUGCGAACGUUGUUCGGAAUCACUGGGCAUAAAGCGCACGUAGGCGGUGACGUAAGUCGGGUGUGAAAUCCCUCGGCCUAACCGAGGAACUGCGCCCGAUACUGCGUUGCUUGAGGACCAGAGGGGUGCAUGGAAUUUCCGGUGGAGCGGUGAAAUGCGUUGAUAUCGGAAGGAACUCCGGCGGCGAAAGCGAUGCACUGGCUGGUUUCUGACGCUGAGAUGCGAAAGCCAGGGGAGCAAACGGG